rnacentral:tRNA from 1 species
AUUACUUUGGCAGAUUAGUGCGUUAAAUUUAGGGUUUAAUAUAUAUAUAUAUUAUAUAUAUAUAAGUAGUA